ACGGCCAAACCACAUUGAAAACACCGGAUCUCGUCCGAUCACCGGAGUUAACCAAUGUCGGUCAGUACUUGGGAGGGUGACCACCAUCGGGUGUAGCUG